GUGGUAAUAGCUCAGUUGAAACGGCUGAAGGAGAGCGUUAGACUGAAGAUCUAAAUGUCCCUAGUUCAAUUCCACUUUGACGCCUGGGUUACCAC
rnacentral:tRNA from 1 species